UACGUAGGGUGCGAGCGUUUGUCCGGAAUUAUUGGGCGUAAAGGGCUCGUAGGCGGUUUGUCGCGUCGGGAGUGAAAACCUUGGGCUUAACUCAGGGCUUGCUUUCGAUACGGGCAGACUAGAGGUAUGCAGGGGAGAACGGAAUUCCUGGUGUAGCGGUGAAAUGCGCAGAUAUCAGGAGGAACACCGAUGGCGAAGGCGGUUCUCUGGGCAUUACCUGACGCUGAGGAGCGAAAGUGUGGGGAGCGAACAGG
rnacentral:rRNA from 1 species